UUGAGGGGACGACCACCCACACUGGAACUGAGACACGGUCCAGACUCCUACGGGAGGCAGCAGUGGGGAAUUUUGGACAAUGGGCGCAAGCCUGAUCCAGCAAUGCCGCGUGAGUGAAGAAGGCCUUCGGGUUGUAAAGCUCUUUUGUCAGGGAAGAAACGGAUGGGGAUAAUACCUCCAUCUAAUGACGGUACCUGAAGAAUAAGCACCGGCUAACUACGUGCCAGCAGCCGCGGUAAUACGUAGGGUGCAAGCGUUAAUCGGAAUUACUGGGCGUAAAGCGUGCGCAGGCGGUUUUGUAAGUUUGUCGUGAAAUCCCCGGGCUCAACCUGGGAAUGGCGAUGAAGACUGCAAGGCUAGAGUUUGGCGGAGGGGGGUAGAAUUCCACGUGUAGCAGUGAAAUGCGUAGAGAUGUGGAGGAACACCGAUGGCGAAGGCAGCCCCCUGGGUCAAAACUGACGCUCAUGCACGAAAGCGUGGGGAGCAAACAGGAUUAGAUACCCUGGUAGUCCACGCCCUAAACGAUGUCUACUAGUUGUCGGGUCUUAAUUGACUUGGUAACGCAGCUAACGCGUGAAGUAGACCGCCUGGGGAGUACGGUCGCAAGAUUAAAACUCAAAGGAAUUGACG
rnacentral:rRNA from 1 species